GCCUUUGUGGUGUAAUGGUCAAGCACGCUCGGCGCAUAUUCGAGAGGUCUGUGGUUCGAGUCCCCGCAAGGGCA
rfam:Stegodyphus mimosarum contig103900, whole genome shotgun sequence.